CAGCAGCCACGGGAAUACGUAGGGUGCUAGCGUUGCUCGGAAUGACUGGGCGUAAAGGGCGCGUAGGCGGAUUGUUUAGUUAGGCGUGAAAUUCCUGGGCUUAACCUGGGAACUGCGCUUGUGACUGCACAGCUAGAGUAUGGCAGAGGGGGGUGGAAUUCCACGUGUAGCAGUGAAAUGCGUAGAGAUGUGGAGGAACACCGAUGGCGAAGGCAGCCCCCUGGGCCAAUACUGACGCUCAUGCACGAAAGCGUGGGGAGCAAACAGGAUUAGAUACCCCCGUAGUCCCUGUCUCUUAUAC
rnacentral:rRNA from 1 species